rnacentral:rRNA from 1 species
UACGUAGGGUGCGAGCGUUAAUCGGAAUUACUGGGCGUAAAGUGUGCGCAGGCGGCCGAGCAAGUCGAGUGUGAAAGCCCCGGGCUUAACUUGGGAAUUGCGCUCGAAACUACUUGGCUGGAGUGUGGCAGAGGAAGGUGGAAUUCCAGGUGUAGCGGUGAAAUGCGUAGAGAUCUGGAGGAACACCGAUGGCGAAGGCAGCCUUCUGGGCCAACACUGACGCUCAUGCACGAAAGCGUGAGGAGCAAACAGG